rnacentral:rRNA from 1 species
UACGUAGGAGACAAACGUUAUCCGGAGUUACUGGGCGUAAAGGGCGUGCAGGUGGUCAUUUAAGUUCGGCGUGAAAGCUCCUGGCUAAACCGGGAGAGGUCGUCGGAGACUGGAUGGCUAGAGGGUGAUAGAGGCGGGUGGAAUUCCGGGUGUAGUGGUGAAAUGCGUAGAGAUCCGGAGGAACACCAGUGGCGAAGGCGACCCGCUGGGUCACACCUGACACUGAGACGCGACAGCAUGGGGAGCGAACGGG